UACGUAGGGUGCGAGCGUUGCCCGGAUUUAUUGGGCGUAAAGGGCGCGUAGGCGGUGUCGCAAGUCCGUGGUGAAAUCUCUAGGCUCAACUUAGAGACUGCCGCGGAAACUGCGGUGCUUGAGUGUGGGAGAGGUGCGUGGAAUUCCCGGUGUAGCGGUGAAAUGCGUAGAUAUCGGGAGGGACACCUGUGGCGAAAGCGGCGCACUGGACCACAACUGACGCUGAGGCGCGAAAGCUAGGGGAGCAAACAGG
rnacentral:rRNA from 1 species